ACACCUCAACUCUUGUGGCUUGCCACAAUGAGCUUGGACUUUGGAGGUUUUGCUGGCCUGUGAGCCGGCUCCUCUCAAAUGAAUUAGCUUCCCAGUGUUUGGUGGCAUCACGGGUGUGAUAACUAUCUACGCUUGUGGUGUUCCACCAGAUAGCCUUCAGCAAUGGAGGUCCGCUGGAGCUCAUAAAUGUCUCUCCUCAGUGAGGACAGUUUUGACC
rnacentral:misc_RNA from 1 species